GUGCUCACUUCUGCAGCACAUAUACUAAAACUGGAAUGGUACAAAGAAAAUUAGCAUGGCCCCUGAGCAAGGAUGACACGCCAAAUUCAUGAAGCAUUCCAUAUUUAA